UGGAUUGACAGGGUUUCCCUGUUGUUUGUAUUUCCAGAAACAUCAAGCUCAGGACAAUGCAGCAUUAGAAACAGGACAAAAAGGACCCAACGGCUGUACUGAAAUGACAAAAAACUCCUUGAUCUGGGCAUCUCUUUCAGAUUACCAACAGCUGGAUUACAAUUUGAGAGUUAAUCUCUUCCAAGGUGGCCCACUGAAGAUCCAAAGCUUGAUGAGAGAUUCCUACAUCCCUGAAAUAUUUCAGAAGGCAGCCAUAGAUCCCAGACAUUGGCAUGGAAAGAGAAUUAGUGAGCUAGGGAGAUGGUAUGAGAAGUAUUUCCUAGAACUUAACGUGCAGAAAGAAAUGAAGAAGAAACGUGGAAGGAAUAAAAAAGACAAUUCCUAGAAGAUAAAGGUUGAAGAUUGGAGUGCAUUCAACGAGUCUUUUUCUUCCACCAUCUAAUAAACCUGCAUGUGAAACCAGAA